AUUGAACGCUGGCGGCCGGCCUAACACAUGCAAGUCGAACGAGUGGCGGACGGGUGAGUAAUGUCUGGGAACCUGCCUGAUGGCGGGGGAUAACUACUGUAAACGGUAGCUAAUACCGCAUACCAUCAGAUGUGCCCAGCGUGGAUUAGCUUGUUGGUGGGGUAACGGCUCACCAAGGCUACGAUCACUAGCUGGUCUGAGAGGAUGACCAGCAACACUGGAACUGAGAAACGGUCCAGACUCCUACGGGAGGCAGCAGUGGGGAAUAUUGCACAAUGGGCGCAAGACUGAUGCAGCCAUGCCGCGUGUAUGAAGAAGGCCUUCGGGUUGUAAAGUACUUUCAGCGGGGAGGCGUUACCCGCAGAAGAAGCACCGGCUAACUCCGUGCCAGCAGCCGCGGUAAUUC
rnacentral:rRNA from 1 species